rnacentral:rRNA from 1 species
GAGACCCACGCCCACAGUUGCCAGCGUACUCUCCGGAGUGACGGGUACACUGUGGGGACCGCCUCUGCUAAAGAGGAGGAAGGAAUGGGCAACGGUAGGUCAGCAUGCCCCGAAUUAUCCGGGCUACACGCGGGCUACAAUGGUCAGGACAAUGGGUAUCGACACCGAGAGGUGAAGGCAAUCUCUUAAACCUGUCCUUAGUUCGGAUUGUGGGCUGCAACUCACCCACAUGAAGCUGGAAUCCGUAGUAAUCGCGUCUCAAAAUGGCGCGGUGAAUAU